UGGCUCAGAGGUUAAAGCGUCUGCCUGCAAUGCAGGAGACCUGGGUUCAAUCCCUG
rfam:Ovis aries breed Texel chromosome 6, whole genome shotgun sequence.